rnacentral:rRNA from 1 species
AUUGAACGCUGGCGGCAGGCCUAACACAUGUAAGUCGAGCGGAGCGGCGGACGGGUGGGUAAUGCCUAGGAAUCUGCCUGGUAGUGGGGGAUACAGUCAGGAAAGGGGAGCUAUUACCGCAUAAUAACAGAUGAGCAUAGGUCGGAUUAGCUAGUUGGUGGGGUAAAGGCCUACCAAGGCGACGAUCCGUAGCUGGUCUGAGAGGAUGAUCAGUCACACGGGAACUGAGACACGGCCCAGACUCCUACGGGAGGCAGCAGUGGGGAAUAUUGGGCAAUGGGCGAAAGCCUGAUCCAGCCAUGCCGCGUGUGUGAAGAAGGUCUUCGGAUUGUAAAGCACUUUAAGUUGGGAGGCGUUACCUACAGAAUAAGCACCGGCUAACUUCGUGCCAGCAGCCGCGGUAAUAC